ACCUGGCUGGCUCAGUUGGUAGAGUAUGCUACUCUUGAUCUCGGGGUCAUGAGUUCGAGCCCCAUGCUGGGUG
rnacentral:tRNA from 1 species